UCGACGAGGGUCCUUCGGGACUCGAGUGGCGAACGGGUGAGUAACACGUAGGGAACCUGCCCGUGCGACCGGGAGAACUUUCGGAAACGGAAGCUGAUACCGGAUAGGGACAGAGACGGCAUCGACUCUGUGUUAAAGGAGCUGAAAGGCUCCGCGCACGGAUGGACCUGCGGUGCAUUAGCUAGUUGGUGAGGUAACGGCCCACCAAGGCGACGAUGCAUAGCCGGCCUGAGAGGGCGGACGGCCACACUGGGACUGAGACACGGCCCAGACUCCUACGGGAGGCAGCAGUAGGGAAUUUUCGUCAAUGGGCGCAAGCCUGAACGAGCAAUGCCGCGUGAACGAGGAAGGUCUUCGGAUCGUAAAGUUCUGUUGAAGGGGAAAAAGAGCGGAGAGAGGAAAUGGUCUCCGAUUGAUAUUACCCUUCGAGGAAGUCACGGCUAACUACGUGCCAGCAGCCGCGGUAAUACGUAGGUGGCGAGCGUUAUCCGGAAUGAUUGGGCGUAAAGGGUGCGUAGGCGGCCUGCUAAGUCUGGAGUGAAAGGUACCGGCUCAACCGGUACAGGCUCUGGAAACUGGCGGGCUAGAGAGCAGGAGAGGGCGGUGGAACUCCAUGUGUAGCGGUAAAAUGCGUAGAUAUAUGGAAGAACACCAGUGGCGAAGGCGGCCGCCUGGCCUGUUACUGACGCUGAGGCACGAAAGCGUGGGGAGCAAAUAGGAUUAGAUACCCUAGUAGUCCACGCCGUANACGAUGAGGACCAAGUGUUGGGGNAGACCCAGUGCUGCAGUUAACGCAGUGAGUCCUCCGCCUGGGGAGUAUGCACGCAAGUGUG
rnacentral:rRNA from 1 species